GAUGAAGAACGUAGCGAAAUGCGAUAAGUAGUGUGAAUUGCAGAAUUCAGUGAAUCAUCGAAUCUUUGAACGCACAUUGCGCCUCCUGGUAUUCCGGGAGGCAUGCCUGUUCGAGCGUCAUUAAAAUCACUCAAGCUUAGGUUUACCUAUUGCUUGGUCUUGGAGAUGGAAGCCAAUUUAUUGGAAUCCUCUUCGAAAUUCAAUGGCGAAGACCCUUGCUCUCCCAAGUGUAGUAAUAACUUAUGUCACUGAAGGAAGCGAGAAAUCUUCUGCCGUAACCCCCAUAUUUUCUAUGAUUGACCUCGGAUCAGGUAGGGAUACCCGCUGAACUUAAGCAUAUCAAUAAGCGGAGG
rnacentral:misc_RNA from 1 species